UACGUAGGGUGCAAGCGUUAAUCGGAAUACUGGGCGUAAAGCGUGCGCAGGCGGUUUUGUAAGUCUGUCGUGAAAUCCCUGGCUCAACCUAGGAAUUGCGAUGGAGACUGCAAGGCUAGAAUCUGGCAGAGGGGGGUAGAUUCACGUGUAGCAGUGAAUGCGUAGAGAUGUGGAGGAACACCGAUGGCGAAGGCAGCCCCCC
rnacentral:rRNA from 1 species